rnacentral:rRNA from 1 species
ACUCCUACGGGAGGCAGCAGUAGGGAAUCUUCCGCAAUGGACGAAAGUCUGACGGAGCAACGCCGCGUGAGUGAUGAAGGUUUUCGGAUCGUAAAACUCUGUUGUUAGGGAAGAACAAGUACCGGAGUAACUGCCGGUACCUUGACGGUACCUAACCAGAAAGCCACGGCUAACUACGUGCCAGCAGCCGCGGUAAUACGUAGGUGGCAAGCGUUGUCCGGAAUUAUUGGGCGUAAAGCGCGCGCAGGUGGUUUCUUAAGUCUGAUGUGAAAGCCCCCGGCUCAACCGGGGAGGGUCGAUUGGAAACUGGGAGACUUGAGUGCAGAAGAGGAAAGUGGAAUUCCAAGUGUAGCGGUGAAAUGCGUAGAGAUUUGGAGGAACACCAGUGGCGAAGGCGACUUUCUGGUCUGU